rnacentral:rRNA from 1 species
UACGGAGGGUGCAAGCGUUAUCCGGAUUUACUGGGGUUAAAGGGUGUGUAGGCGGAUUAUUAAGUCAGCGGUGAAAUCUCCGGGCUCAACCCGGAAACUGCCAUUGAUACUAUUAGUCUUGAAUAUUGUUGAGGUGGGCGGAACGGGUCAUGUAGCGGUGAAAUGCAUAGAUAUGACCCGGAACACCGAUUGCGAAGGCAGCCCACUAAGCAAUGAUUGACGCUGAGGCACGAAAGCGUGGGGAUCAAACAGG